rnacentral:rRNA from 1 species
AUGCCCACAAGGAAGGGCCCGCACCCAUCAUCCGCUGAUCCUGACCCGGAUGACCAGAUCGAGGAAUCUGCUCCCGGCUCUGACACGGUAGGCAGCGAGGACAUAGGCCACUCCCCUGCCAACAGAGGCUCCGCAGAGCUGGCCAUGGAUUGGUUUGAUGGUGAUUUCGAUGUGGGGGAGGAGGAAGAUGAGGAGGAGCAGGAGGAAGGCGACGGUAAUGGCUGGGAUGAUGAAGAGGGUGAUGAUAGCCAGUCGUCGCAGGGAGACGAUGGCAACAUGGAUGAGUCAUUGAGAAUGCACAUCUUUGUCAAGAAUCCCACCGGCAGGACAAUCUGCCUCAAGGUCCACUCAUCAGACACCCUGUACACCGUCAAGGCAAAGAUCCAAGACCAGUAUCGUCUCGUCUUCGACGGGGUGCAUCUAGAGGACAACUUUACGUUGGCUGAUUAUGGCAUCGAGCAUGAAUCUACGCUUGACCUCCAAGAAAAGAUGCAAAUCUUCGUGACAGAGACGCUAGAAGGUAGGACCAUCACUCUCGAGGUUGAUAGCCUAGACACCAUUGGCAGCCUGAAGGCCAAGAUCCAAUACAUGGAGGGCUUUCCCAAGGGCCAGCAGUGCCUCAUCUUUGCCAACAAGCAGCUGGAGGAUGACAACCGCACCUUGGCCGACCACAACAUCUGGAAGGAGUCCACCAUUCUCCUUGUCCUCCGCCCGUGUAGUACAAUAGGAGGUACGAUGCACAUCUUCGUGAAGACACUGUUAGGAAAGACCCACGCUCUUGAGGUUGGGAGCUUGGACACCAUUGAGAGUGUCAAGGUGAAGAUCUAUGAGAAGGAGGGCACUCGCCCGAUACAGCAGCGCCUCAUCUUUGCUGGCAAGCAGCUGGAGGACGGGCGCACGCUGGCAGACUACAACAUUCAGAGGGAGUCUACCCUUCAUUUGGUGCUCUGCCUUUGUGGUUGCUGA